UCUCUUGUAGUAUACUGGUUAGAACACGGGUCUGAUAAACCCGAAAAGGAGGUUCGAUUCCUCCCAGGAGAA